CCCUUUGACAAGAGAACGGCGGACUGUUAAUCCGUAUGUCACUGGUUCGAGUCCAGUCAGAGGAGCCA
rnacentral:tRNA from 1 species